CGGGUGAGUAAUGCUUGGGAAUCUAGCUUAUGGAGGGGGAUAACUACGGGGAACUGUAGCUAAUACCGCGUAGUAUCGGAAGAUGAAAGUGUGGGACCUUCGGGCCACAUGCCAUAGGAUGAGCCCAAGUGGGAUUAGGUAGUUGGUGAGGUAAAGGCUCACCAAGCCGACGAUCUCUAGCUGGUCUGAGAGGAUGACCAGCCACACUGGGACUGAGACACGGCCCAG
rnacentral:rRNA from 1 species